AACGAACGCUGGCGGCAGGCCUAACACAUGCAAGUCGAGCGCCCCGCAAGGGGAGCGGCGGACGGGUGAGUAACGCGUGGGAAUAUGCCCUUUGCUACGGAAUAGUCUCGGGAAACUGGGGGUAAUACCGUAUACGCCCUUUGGGGGAAAGAUUUAUCGGCGAAGGAUUAGCCCGCGUUGGAUUAGGUAGUUGGUGGGGUAAUGGCCUACCAAGCCGACGAUCCAUAGCUGGUUUGAGAGGAUGAUCAGCCACACUGGGACUGAGACACGGCCCAGACUCCUACGGGAGGCAGCAGUGGGGAAUCUUAGACAAUGGGGGCAACCCUGAUCGAGCCAUGACGCGUGAGUGAUGAAGGCCUUAGGGUUGUAAAGCUCUUUCAGCUGGGAAGAUAAUGACGGUACCAGCAGAAGAAGCCCCGGCUAACUCCGUG
rnacentral:rRNA from 1 species